GAGUUUGAUCAUGGCUCAGGAUGAACGCUAGCGACAGGCUUAACACAUGCAAGUCGAGGGGCAGCGGGGGAGCAGCAAUGCUCCUGCCGGCGACCGGCGCACGGGUGAGUAACACGUAUGGAACCUGCCCGCAGCAGGGGGAUAAGCGGAAGAAAUUCCGUCUAAUACCGCGUAACACCGCGGAGGGGCAUCCCUCGGCGGUUAAAGAUUCAUCGGCUGCGGAUGGCCAUGCGGCGCAUUAGCUAGUCGGCGGGGUAACGGCCCACCGAGGCGACGAUGCGUAGGGGUUCUGAGAGGAAGGUCCCCCACACUGGUACUGAGACACGGACCAGACUCCUACGAGAGGCAGCAGUGAGGAAUAUUGGUCAAUGGCCGUAAGGCUGAACCAGCCAAGUCGCGUGAGGGAAGACGGCCCUACGGGUUGUAAACCUCUUUUGUCAGGGAGCAAGGGGCAGGUCGUGACCUGCUGUGAGAGUACCUGAAGAAAAAGCAUCGGCUAACUCCGUGCCAGCAGCCGCGGUAAUACGGAGGAUGCGAGCGUUAUCCGGAUUUAUUGGGUUUAAAGGGUGCGCAGGCGGAGGCACAAGUCAGCGGUAAAAUCGCGGGGCUCAACCCCGCUCCGCCGUUGAAACUGUGUCCCUUGAGUGCGCGAAGGGUAGGCGGAAUGCGUGGUGUAGCGGUGAAAUGCAUAGAUAUCACGCAGAACUCCGAUCGCGAAGGCAGCCUACCGGCGCGCUACUGACGCUCAUGCACGAAAGCGUGGGUAUCGAACAGGAUUAGAUACCCUGGUAGUCCACGCAGUAAACGAUGAAUGCUAUCUGUCCGGCCGGAAUGACGGCUGGGUGGCACAGCGAAAGCGUUAAGCAUUCCACCUGGGGAGUACGCCGGCAACGGUGAAACUCAAAGGAAUUGACGG
rnacentral:rRNA from 1 species